rnacentral:rRNA from 1 species
AACGAACGCUGGCGGCAUGCCUAACACAUGCAAGUCGAACGAUGCUUUCGGGCAUAGUGGCGCACGGGUGCGUAACGCGUGGGAAUCUGCCCUUUGGUUCGGAAUAACAGCGAGAAAUUGCUGCUAAUACCGGAUGAUGACGUUAAGUCCAAAGAUUUAUCGCCAGAGGAUGAGCCCGCGUAGGAUUAGCUAGUUGGUGUGGUAAAGGCGCACCAAGGCGACGAUCCUUAGCUGGUCUGAGAGGAUAAUCAGCCACACUGGGACUGAGACACGGCCCAGACUCCUGCUGGAAGCAGCAGUGGGGAAUAUUGGACAAUGGGCGCAAGCCUGAUCCAGCAAUGCCGCGUGAGUGAUGAAGGCCUUAGGGUUGUAAAGCUCUUUUACCCGUGAUGAUAAUGACAGUAGCGGGAGAAUAAGCCCCGGCUAACUCCGUGCCAGCCGCCGCGGUAA